rnacentral:rRNA from 1 species
AAGUCGAACGGUGAAGCAGGAGCUUGCUCUUGUGGAUCAGUGGCGAACGGGUGAGUAACACGUGAGCAACCUGCCCCGGACUCUGGGAUAAGCGCUGGAAACGGCGUCUAAUACUGGAUAUGAGACGUGAUCGCAUGGUCAACGUCUGGAAAGAUUUUUCGGUCUGGGAUGGGCUCGCGGCCUAUCAGCUUGUUGGUGAGGUAAUGGCUCACCAAGGCGUCGACGGGUAGCCGGCCUGAGAGGGUGACCGGCCACACUGGGACUGAGACACGGCCCAGACUCCUACGGGAGGCAGCAGUGGGGAAUAUUGCACAAUGGGCGAAAGCCUGAUGCAGCAACGCCGCGUGAGGGAUGACGGCCUUCGGGUUGUAAACCUCUUUUAGCAGGGAAGAAGCGAGAGUGACGGUACCUGCAGAAAAAGCGCCGGCUAACUACGUGCCAGCAGCCGCGGUAAUACGUAGGGCGCAAGCGUUAUCCGGAAUUAUUGGGCGUAAAGAGCUCGUAGGCGGUCUGUCGCGUCUGCUGUGAAAACUGGAGGCUCAACCUCCAGCCUGCAGUGGGUACGGGCAGACUAGAGUGCGGUAGGGGAGAUUGGAAUUCCUGGUGUAGCGGUGGAAUGCGCAGAUAUCAGGAGGAACACCGAUGGCGAAGGCAGAUCUCUGGGCCGUAACUGACGCUGAGGAGCGAAAGGGUGGGGAGCAAACAGGCUUAGAUACCCUGGUAGUCCACCCCGUAAACGUUGGGAACUAGUUG